rnacentral:rRNA from 1 species
GUAGGGAAUAUUCCGCAAUGGGCGAAAGCCUGACGGAGCGACGCCGCGUGUGCGAUGAAGGCCUUCGGGUUGUAAAGCACUGUCGAGAGGGAAGAACGGUACGGGGGCGAAUAGUCCUCGUACUUGACGGUACCUCUGGAGGAAGCCCCGGCUAAUUACGUGCCAGCAGCCGCGGUAAUACGUAAGGGGCGAGCGUUGUCCGGAAUCACUGGGCGUAAAGCGUACGUAGGCGGUCGAACAAGUCAGGGGUGAAAGCUGUGGGCUUAACCCACAAACUGCCUCUGAAACUGUUCGACUCGAGUCUUGCAGGGGAAAGUGGAAUUCAUGGUGUAGCGGUGAAAUGCGUAGAUAUCAUGGAGAACACCCGUGGCGAAGGCGGCUUUCUGGGCAAAGACUGACGCUGAGGUACGAAAGCUAGGGGAGCGAACAGGAUUAGAAACCCCGGUAGUCC